CAGCUGACUUGAAUUCGCGCCGAAUGCAACAGUUUUAUCUUCUCAGAAUUUAUACAAUAACAACAAUAACGAAAGAAAUAUCACCGAUUUACUACCUACUAGAUCUAGAGAGUCGGAGGCUAGACAUGGAAGAGCGACUUGUUUCAGCAGUCGACAAGCUGGCUGGCUACAGCUGCUGAAGCUAAUAGCAAGGCCGCGGAUAUGCAGAGUUGCUUCGGCUGCUGCUGGAGGAAGUUAGGUGAAGACCAAUAUAAGGUUAAAGAAUAGCAGCAUGACGAUUCUCAAGAACGAAGACACUAGAGAAACUAAGUUAAAAUACUUAAGUAAAAACAUAUGUAUUCAAUAAACUUGUAUGUAAAUAUUUAAGCUAAAGUAUAAGUACUCCAUUUAUGUUAUUUAAGUGAAGUUGUGUUUAAUUUAAAUACUUAAGUUUGGUCAUGUUAUUUAAGUGAGUUUGUCUAGGGGUAACAUUAAAGUACAUUAAAGACAAAGCAACUAGAUAUCAUUUUACCAAGAACUAUUUUGAAACAAAAAUAAUAUAGCAUCACGCUUCUAUUCCCGAAGGGGUAGGCAGAGGUGUAUAGUAUAUUUAUACACCCACUCCUUGCCAACUACUAUCUAAU